UACGUAGGGUGCGAGCGUUAAUCGGAAUUACUGGGCGUAAAGCGUGCGCAGGCGGUUUUGCAAGACAGAUGUGAAAUCCCCGGGCUUAACCUGGGAACUGCAUUUGUGACUGCAAGGCUAGAGUGUGUCAGAGGGAGGUGGAAUUCCGCGUGUAGCAGUGAAAUGCGUAGAGAUGCGGAGGAACACCAAUGGCGAAGGCAGCCUCCUGGGAUAACACUGACGCUCAUGCACGAAAGCGUGGGGAGCAAACAGG
rnacentral:rRNA from 1 species